AAACUGCAUGUGGCCAUUAGGGCUGGGAAGAAAUCGGCAAGGAGGUGAAUGAGAAGAUCUGGAAUGAGAAGAAGGAGCAAUACACGGGCCGCCAGAAAUCCAAACUGCCCAAGUGGUUCGGCGAACGACCAGGCAAGAAGUCCGGCGAACCCGAGACACCCGAAGGCGAGGAAGACGCCAAGGCUGAUGAGGACAUCGUCGAGGAUGAAGAGGAAGUCGAGGAGGAGGUUGUCGAAGAGGAGGAUGAGGAAGCCGAGGAAGAAGAAGAGGAGGAAGAGGAAGAAGAGGAAGAGGAGGAGGAGGAAGAGGAGGAAGAAGAGGAGGAGGAAGAAGAGGAAGAAGAAUAAAUUAAUUUAACUACAUUUAAUAAAAUUUAAAAACAAAGAAAUUAGUUAUUAUUAGCUUAUUCGAGCAACCAACAAAUAUAAAACAGCAAAAAAGUAACGAGCGAAAAUCAGCAGGUGUAGCAGUUGACGAAGAUGAAGAAAAAUUAAUAUCAAAAACUGAAAAAAUUGUCAAAGCAACUCUCUCACUCGAACGCGAACUCAAACUCACUCUGACACAUUCACUACUGAUUAUUCACUCACUCGAACACAAACACACAAACAAACAACUGUGACAACACGAACGCAUUGUCGCUCUCUCUCUCUUUGUCUUUUAUAAGAAAUACAAGAACAAAAAAAUACGAAAAAAACAACAGCCAAAAC